rnacentral:ncRNA from 1 species
UGAUAGAGGCGCGGGGUACAAAAGUAACUUUCGGAGGGACACCAUCGAGGAAAGCGAAAGGGGAACCGCCGAAGCAGACGAGUGGGUGCACUGUUUUGCUGGGCCGCAGGGAAAUACGUUGCGGACUGUCACCUUCGGGUGGAGAGCUGUC